UCCCUGACAGCAGCAUCUCCGCUCCGUCGCGCUGCGCCCGUCAGCAGUCACAGGGAACCGGCCGGGACUCCGCCAGCUCCACUUCAUUAGCGGUGCGCGCUGCCCACGGCCAUAUUGCCAAAAGACGGUCGUGGAGAGUUUGGUGACCCACUUCGAGACAAGAGAAAGUUCCCGCCUGACAGACAAUUCGGGGAAGUUUGGGGAGACAGGGCGUUCCUUCUCAACAUUUUUCGCAAACGUGUUUUGCAGCUGAGGCGCGCAGGGAGGAUUACGGACACCAGAGACAAGAGUUGGAAUCUGUGGAGCUGAAGUGCCCGACGUGGCAGCCGAUCUGAGACGUGCCCCUGAGGUGUGAUGUGAGCACAGUCGGCCAUGGAUCAUGAAAUGAGGCUGGGCCUGUCCGUGUGGGCCAUCGUGGCCAUCGCUUGCAACUCUGUGGUCGGCGUCCUUAUUCUCAUUCUCUUCGUCAUCCUCUACAAGGCUUGCAAGGUGCCUUCACACCCGGAGAAAGUGCCAGUUUUAAUAGCAGAGCCGCAGCAGAAGAAGGCGGAACAGAAGUACCUGCUGACUGCAGCCUGAUGAUGAACACACUGGCUUGAGAUUUAGACCAAAAAUUUGAAUACGGGGUGUUUAGAAGAACACUUUUGUCGUUAUUUUGUUUAACAUACUGUUCACAUUUCCCCAUCAGCCCCGCAUCCAUGCCAUUCAGAGGAGCUCAGAGUGAGCUAACGGCGCUAAGAGUUGUAGCAAGACCAACCACAACAACAAGCGCGGCCCAAUCCUCUUAUCUCUGCUGUGCGUCGCUGGGACUGUCCAUCUGUCAGUCUGUUUGCUUUCCUCCACACAGGCAGACCAUGAUCUCCUCCUCUGCUCCAUUCUUUUUCAUCCCUCCACACGAGACGAGUGAGAGGCGGUGGAGGAAAGGCAGGCAAAAAACAAUGGAUUGUAGCGGCAAAGUUCGGGGCGACGGGGUCGGCUGAGAGUCGCAAUCACAUUUUAGAGAGGUGAAGAGAAAGAAAUUGAUUUGUAGCUGCCAGCUGCAGCACUAAUGAUGGCAGCGACAGCGCUGUAAACAGACGACAGGUACGAACCGAAAGCCCGACAGAGUGAGGAGGGAGACAGACGCCGCUGGAGGAAGUGUUUAAGAGUCAAGGAGACGGGGCGGAGAGGGCAGAUAUUUGGUGGGGAUAAUAAAGUGCAGGGGAAGAAUUGUGCUUUGAUGUUCUGUUUACAGAAAGCAGCUCGAGGCCCCUGUUUGACAGUCUCCUUAUUUGACACAAAAAGUCUCCGCAUCCAGCAAUCCGACUCCCGUGGGAUUAAAAGCAACAGAAAAAAUACAGCUCGUUCCCCGGUGUGCCUCUCUUUCAACUCGUGAGCUCCCCAUAAAGACUGAAUACGAUAUUUAUAGGCUGCCUUCAGCAGAAAUGACAGACUGAACACUCACGGUCUCAGAGUAACGAGUGAAUAUUGUAUUUAUUGUAGUGAACGCACUACAGCUAACACACAACUGUGAUGUCUACGUCAUCAGAAGAGAAAGUGCUGCAUAACAGUAUACCUGUUUGUCUCAUUCUUAUUAUUGAAAUGGCUCUCAACAGAAAUGUACAUUGUUUUGUUUUGGAAAAAAAAAAGAGUCAGUUAACCUCUAAUCUCACGUCUGAGUUAACUCGCUUUUAGUCCAAACUGUUGAUUUCCUGUGCAGAACUUUCUGUUCUGCUUAUUUUUUGCAAUAUUUCUGUGCAACUCACAUGUAAUGUGAAAGUCAAUUGUGCCGAAAUGAAAUAAAUACAUCUAACAUUUAA